rnacentral:rRNA from 1 species
GACGGAGGGUGCAAGCGUUGUUCGGAAUUACUGGGCGUAAAGAGCGCGCAGGCGGUCGUUCAAGUCGCGUGUGAAAGCCCCCGGCUCAACUGGGGAGGGUCACGCGAUACUGAUCGACUGGAAGGCAGGAGAGGGUAGUGGAAUUCCCGGUGUAGUGGUGAAAUGCGUAGAUAUCGAGAGGAACACCGGUGGCGAAGGCGGCCUUCUGGACAGUGACUGACGCUGAGACGCGAAAGCGUGGGGAGCAAACAGG